AGGAUGAACGCUGGCGGCGUGCCUAACACAUGCAAGUCGAACGUCCUGUCUCGCAAGAGGCAGGGAGUGGCGGACGGGUGAGUACCACGUGGGUUAUCUACCGUGAGGUGAGGAAUACCGGCGAGAAAUCGCCGACAAGACCGCAUAGCCUCGGUGCAAGCCGAGCAAAGCUCUUUCGAGAGAGGGAGCGCCACACGAGGAGCCUGCGCCCGAUUAGCUAGCUGGUGGAGUAACGGUUCACCAGGGCGACGACCGGUAGCUGGUCUGAGAGGACGAUCAGCCACACUGGGAUUGAGAACGGCCCAGACUCCUACGGGGGGCAGCAGUGAGGAAUUUUCCGCAAUGGACGCAAGUCUGACGGAGCAACGCCGCGUGCAGGAUGACGGCCUUCGGGUUGUAAACUGCUUUUCUGUGAGACGAGAACGGACGGUAUCACAGGAAUCAGCCCCGGCUAACUACGUGCCAGCAGCCGC
rnacentral:rRNA from 1 species